AUGGAGGAGGAAUUGCUCACCUUCUUCCCUAAUGGCAUCCGGGCCUUGCUUGUUGAUGAUAAUACACCGUUUGUAAACUCUGCUCGCACGAUGCUCAAUCUGUUGCACUUUAAAGUGGCUACAUGCAAGACACCAACCGCAGCCCUACAGUUUCUCUCAAAAAAUCAAAAGGAUAUCAUCGAUGUCGUCCUUGUUGAUGGUCACAAGGCAUCAACAUGCGGUUUUGACCUUCGCGCCAUCGUCGAGCGGGACCUCCACAUCCCAGUCGUCUAUUACAUGUCGCUGGAAGACCCGAUUCACACCGCCGGGGAUGGGACCCUUUCCCGGAUGGUGCAAGCAGCAACGUACAUCAUCAACAAGCCGCUCGACGCAUCCGAGCUGGGUAGCCUGUGGAGGGUCAUUGCGUACCGUAGAUUGGCUUGGGACGCGAGGAAAGUUAAUGGGCACAACGGUCAUUGCAAAGGCAAACAUGCAUCUCCCUCCUUGGUUGGAGACAAAGGUCGUAGCCUCUCGUCAUUUCCACCAGGUUCAUAUGUUGAUGACGAGGACGAGGACAAUGAGAUAGAGUCUCGUGCCCACUUCAAGGUGGUUCGGGUUCACACCGAAAGUAAGAAACAAACCCAUGAUCCCCGCGGAGAAGGUUCCUCUAAAACCCACAAACACCACAUUGUGUGGUCACCGCUCCUCAAGGAAAGGUUCAAGUGUGCUGUGGAAGAGAUGGGCAUCGGACACCCAAGCAAGAUACUGGAGCACAUGAACGUGAAAGGCCUAAAAAGGCACCACGUGGCUAGCCACUUACAGAAAUACCGUGCGAAGCUCCAAAUGAAGAAUGACAUGUGCAACACCUCGAACUGUUGCCGGAGCUCAGGUGACCGCCCUCCACAGGCGACCCAUAUCGUGCAAACCGCCCAUCAGCCGCAGAUAUCCUCCGUCGAUAGGGGCUUGAACAUCUCUGCCAUGCCCUUCGCCAACGGUACCGAUGCCCCUGUUCCGACAUCAUGGCCUUCGUCUUCCCAAGAACAAGCUGUGAAGGAUGUCUUCGGCGACAUUGCACCGAUGGACAUGCUAACAAAGGGGCCGCCUUCCUCUAGCUACAACCCGAAUACCUUCCCGCAGGUGUUCUUCGGGCCAUUUUCCUACCAAGGCCCAUCUCUGCAAGCAUCAGACACGCCACCUGCGAAUUAUGCCGGCGAUCAUGUCACUGCAGCUUCACAGUAUCGUACUGGCUCUCUUGUCCCGGAGUCUUUUGAUGCAGAAAUAGAAGCUUUCUUUGGCAGCACUGAACCGACAAUGGAAGCAUCCGAAAAUGGUGCUGCCGCCGGCGCCGGGACAUUUGUGCCGCCGGAUCAGGCGGAUGCCGUGGCUUCAGCGGAAGAAGAUAUUGCAAUGGUGGCCGAAAUGAUGGCUGCACCAUCAGAUGUUCAUCUUGCCAUGGCAUCAUAUGAAGCAACGGCUCUGAAUACGGAUGACCAGUUCUUGUUUCCACUAGAAGCACUUCGGGGGCUGGAUGUGCCCAUGGACAUCAACAACUAUAGGGUCACUGAUAAUGGAGCUAUCACAUGGCUGAAUGGCGAGGCCGACGUCCAAGACUAUGCCUUUUUCUAG
rnacentral:rRNA from 1 species